rnacentral:rRNA from 1 species
UAGGGAAUCUUGCGCAAUGGGCGAAAGCCUGACGCAGCGACGCCGCGUGUGGGAAGAAGGCCCUCGGGUUGUAAACCACUUUCAGGAGGGAAGAAGCGAAAGUGACGGUACCUCCAGAAGAAGACCCGGCCAACUACGUGCCAGCAGCCGCGGUAAUACGUAGGGGUCAAGCGUUGUCCGGAAUUAUUGGGCGUAAAGAGCUCGUAGGCGGUUUUUUAAGUCGGAUGUGAAAUCUCAGGGCUCAACUCUGAAACUGCAUCCGAUACUGGAAGACUUGAGGCAGGUAGGGGAGAUCGGAAUUCCUAGUGUAGCGGUGAAAUGCGCAGAUAUUAGGAGGAACACCGGUGGCGAAGGCGGAUCUCUGGGCCUGUUCUGACGCUGAGGAGCGAAAGCGUGGGGAGCAAACAGGAUUAGAUACCCCCGUAGUCC